rnacentral:rRNA from 1 species
CUUACGGGAGGCAGCAGUAGGGAAUCUUCCGCAAUGGACGAAAGUCUGACGGAGCAACGCCGCGUGAGUGAUGAAGGUUUUCGGAUCGUAAAACUCUGUUGUUAGGGAAGAACAAGUACCGGAGUAACUGCCGGUACCUUGACGGUACCUAACCAGAAAGCCACGGCUAACUACGUGCCAGCAGCCGCGGUAAUACGUAGGUGGCAAGCGUUGUCCGGAAUUAUUGGGCGUAAAGCGCGCGCAGGCGGUUCCUUAAGUCUGAUGUGAAAGCCCCCGGCUCAACCGGGGAGGGUCAUUGGAAACUGGGGAACUUGAGUGCAGAAGAGAAGAGUGGAAUUCCACGUGUAGCGGUGAAAUGCGUAGAGAUGUGGAGGAACACCAGUGGCGAAGGCGACUCUUUGGUCUGUAACUGACGCUGAGGCGCGAAAGCGUGGGGAGCAAACAGGAUUAGAUACCCUGGUAGUCCACGCCGUAAACGAUGAGUGCUAAGUGUUAGAGGGUUUCCGCCCUUUAGUGCUGCAGCAAACGCAUUAAGCACUCCGCCUGGGGAGUACGGCCGCAAGGCUGAAACUCAAAUGAAUUGACGGGG